rnacentral:lncRNA from 1 species
CAUUUGCACUAGUUUGACAUUUGCUCAACAUUUAUCUAAGUUAACGCUAAAUUUGCACUAUUGAAGAAAAACACGUCUUCUUUGAUAUUUCUCAGAGUUCUUGCAUAACUUGUCUUCUUUGCCUCCUUAACUUUGAUUACCCCCCUCAACAAAUUUCAUUAAGCCCCUCCACUGUACAUGUUGUGUAUCGCAUUUUUUACAUCAUGACUUGCUUCUAGGAACCACACUACACAAUGUCAUUGUAGGUGUUUUGCAUCGUAAUUUUCACAUCAGGACUUGCUUCUAGGAGCCUGGCUCAACAAUGUCACUGCUUCGAUGACAUCAGUUUUAUGUCAUGCUUGCAUGCCACAGCCACAUUAUCUAAAAACACUUUUUGCCAGGAUAUGUCAUCAUGAGUUUAAUUGAACUUUAAAUGCCGCAACCAUGGCUACGAUGGGUGUAUGCAAAAUUACAAACACACAAAUCUUUGGCAAUAUCGAAAUUUCGCUUUAUAUCUUCCAAAAUACCUAGUCAACAAAAACAUAGCAAACACUAGCUGUAAUGACUCAAGGCAUUGUCCAGAAAUUAAAAUAAGGCCGCCAAUAAAUUAGCACAGUCAAGGUAUGACCACGAGCCCCUUGAUCGCAUCGGAUAAGCAGUUAACCACUAGCUCAACACCAGCUAUAGUAUAGUACACCCCCGCUCCACCUGGGAUAAUCAGUAUCCUAAUCACUAUUUUACUAGUGCAGCAGCGGGAUCACAACUGUGCCAGCGUCGUCUUGACUGUACAAGUGCAGUAGUAGAAGUGUAUUUCCCGCUGGCGCCGGAAGCAUUUCACGUUGGGAUCUCAGGU